GCUGGGCGUGGUGGUGCAUGCCUGUUAUCCCAGCAGCUCGGAGGGCUGAGGCAGGAGGAUUGCAAGUUCAAAGCCAGCCUCAA
rnacentral:sRNA from 1 species